rnacentral:rRNA from 1 species
CCUACGGGAGGCAGCAGUGGGGAAUAUUGCACAAUGGGGGGAACCCAGAUGCAGCAACGCCGCGUGGGUGAAGAAGGACUACGGGAGGGAAAGCCCUGGCAGCAGGGAAGAAAAGGACGGUACCUGACCAAGAAGCCGCGGCUAACCACGUGCCAGCAGCCGCGGUAAGACGUAGGGGGCAAGCGUGAUCCGGAGUGACUGGGUGUAAAGGGAGCGUAGACGGCCAGGCAAGUCUGGAGUGAAAGCCCGUGGCCCAACCACGGGACUGCUUUUGAAACUGUGUUGCUGGAGUGCAGGAGGGGUCAGCGGACUUCCUAGUGUAGCGGUGAAAUGCGUCGAUAUUAGGAGGAACACCGGUGGCGAAGGCGGCUUACUGGACUGUAACUGACGUUGCGGCUCGACAGCGUGGGGAGCAAACAGGAUUAGAUCCCCGAGUAGUC